GCAGACACAUUCCAGCCAAUAAGCAGCAGACCCUCCCUCCCAGACCCUCCCACCUCCUGGACAGCAUCCAUUUUACAUCCAUUGUGAAGCUGCAUUCUUAGUGAGCUGUCCAGGAGGUGGGAGGGUCUGGGAGGGAGGGUCUGCUGCUGAUUGGCUGGAAUGUAUCUG
rnacentral:miRNA from 1 species